rfam:Tuber melanosporum whole genome shotgun sequence assembly, scaffold_138, strain Mel28
GCAUUGCUGGUCCAGUGGUAGGAUAAUUGCCUUCCAAGCAAUUGGCAGGGGUUCGAUUCCCUUGCAAUGCA